rnacentral:rRNA from 1 species
AUGAACGCUGGCGGCGUGCCUCAUACAUGCAAGUCGAGCGAACAGACGAGGAGCUUGCUCCUCUGACGUUAGCGGCGGACGGGUGAGUAACACGUGGAUAACCUACCUAUAAGACUGGGAUAACUUCGGGAAACCGGAGCUAAUACCGGAUAAUAUAUUUAACCGCAUGGUUCAAUAGUGAAAGACGGUUUUGCUGUCACUUAUAGAUGGAUCCGCGCCGCAUUAGCUAGUUGGUAAAGUAACGGCUUACCAAGGCAACGAUGCGUAGCCGACCUGAGAGGGUGAUCGGCCACACUGGAACUGAGACACGGUCCAGACUCCUACGGGAGGCAGCAGUAGGGAAUCUACCGCAAUGGGCGAAAGCCUGACGGAGCAACGCCGCGUGAGUGAUGAAGGUCUUCGGAUCGUAAAACUCUGUUAUUAGGGAAGAACAAAUGUGUAAGUAACUAUGCACGUCUUGACGGUACCUAAUCAGAAAGCCACGGCUAACUACGUG